AGAGCGGGCUCACGGCCGUGUGGCGUAGGGUCUGCCGCAGGGAACUGUUUGAACUCUCCUGAGCGCUCUGCCGGGUCAGUUUGGGUGGGGUGGGUCCAAGCCCAACGACUGCCCCCCAUACCUCAGGAGCUGGAGUGGAGACGGCGUCUCACUUCAGGACGCUUCUAGGAGGAGAAACCACAGAUUGGAGAAAAUGCUCAUGAUAUGAACUUGAGAGAACGAGAAAGUGAAUGGCUAACACUCCUGAUAGGAGCCACAUUUGCAGGCGGUAGCAGCCAUGCUCCUUGAACCAAGAAGACACACAUGUGAAUGGAAAUAACAGGAUGUUGAAACAAGGUCAGGAUAUUGGAACGAGGACUUUCCUGAAAGAUUUGAGACACCUGACCCCAGACAUCUACCUCCAAUGGCUGAUAAGUAUGCACAGUCCCCUAAUCGAGUCUGCUUGAUUUCUGAAUCUGCAGGGAAAUAUUUAAGGCAGGCCUGCGAGGAGAUUAGCCACUUCUCCCCGCAAAGCCAAGUCCUUUAGAUAGGGGUCGCCACAGACGACAAGGAAAUUGAUAGGAAAUAG